rnacentral:rRNA from 1 species
GACGAACGCUGGCGGCGUGCUUAACACAUGCAAGUCGAACGAAGUGGCGAACGGGUGAGUAACGCGUAAUCAACCUGCCCUUCAGAUGGGGACAACAGUUGGAAACGACUGCUAAUACCGCAUAAUGAAGGAGGUGAGUGCGUCUGAUAAGCUAGUUGGAGGGGUAACGGCCCACCAAGUAGAUGAUCAGUAGCCGGUAGGAGAGAAUGAACGGCCACAGUUGGACUUAGACACGGCCCAGACUCCUACGGGAGGCAGCAGUGGGGAAUCUUCCGCAAUGGACGAAAGUCUGACGGAGCAACGCCGCGUGAGUGAUGACGGACUUCGGGUUGUAAAGCGCUGUUAAUCGGGACGCGGUACCGGAAUAGAAAGCCACGGCUAACUACGUGCCAGCAGCCGCGGUAAUAC